UUUUUUUUUGAGAUUUUGCUUAGUAUGCCAACGGAUGGACUGUUGUCAUCAUUCGCUAAAUUAACUAAUGUUGGCUUGGCCCUUCCUGUGUGUAUAUCAGUAUUAUUAUUAGUAUUAUAUUAGUAUUAUUACUUUAAAAUUUCUAUAACUAGACAUUUCUGUUUAUUCAAACACAGAGUUUGAAUAAACAUGCUAGCCAGCUUAUUGAAUACAGUACAAUUAAUAAUUAUUGUAUGCAUGUUUUUAUUCAGGGAAUAUAGUUAGAAAUAUAAGUAAAACUCUUGAUAUUUAGUAACAGCACCCAGUAGUGCUAAUUUUCUUCGGCCCAGUUUUUAAAAUACACAUUAGGGUAAAUUAGUUUGCAUCUUUUGUUUACUUUUUUUUUUUUUCCCCACAGUGAAAAUGUUCCUUUUUAUGUACAAAAAAUGUGUCACAAUAGAAAGCUGUGCCCAUGCUCUUCUGGUGUGAACCUCACCUUAAUUACAUGUGACGUGUAUGUGGCAGUGCAGGAAGUGUGUUGCAAAGAAGAGUUAUAGGAUGACACUAUACAUACCAGAAGAACCUGUGUCAUCAAGUCUCUGUGGACCUACAUGAAAUGAAGACCCUGAAAAACUAGUAAAGGCAUAUUUGGAUUAAGACAUUGACUCAUAAAGUUCCAGGGAGCAAACUGUGAUGGGAGUGUAUGACAUACUAAAGGAGGGAGCGCUGCCUGACGAUGACAUUGGACAAUGGUGUCCGUAUUGAAGGUGUGGAAGUCCUAAGUGACUUAAGUAGCAUUGCACAGGCUUGUGCUCUGUUAUUUGGACUGAUGCACUGUUUGAACCUGAGCUAACCACCAGAGCUCAAAUGCACUUUUGAAUUCUUGCGGAAGAUCUUUCUAAAUGGACAGAGGUUGUCAUCCAAGGCACAGUUCCUCAAAAACAAUAUCAAUGUUUGUUUUUUGUUAUAAAUUCAUGUUCAUUCUUGUUUGUUUUCAAAUGUUACUUUUUUGUGUGUCAGGUCCAGGUUUACCUUACAAAUUCAUGAAAAGGGUAAUGUUAAAAUUGUUAAAAUGGCUUAAUUUUUAGAAGUUUUAAGUCCAAAAGGGCAUUAAGGUCCUACAAGCUUGGGGAUCAGUUUUCUCAAGAGCCAAGAUUUUGUUGGCUAAAUGUUUCUUCUACACUGUGUUACAAAAACUUAAAUGGAUAGGAGACUUAAAUUGAAGAAAGCAGUUUAAACUUGAUGUUAAAGCUGAA